rnacentral:rRNA from 1 species
UACGGAGGAGGCAAGCGUUAUCCGGAAUUAUUGGGCGUAAAGCGUCCGCAGGUGGCACCUCAAGUCUGCUGUCAAAGACCGGGGCUUAACCCCAGAAAGGCAGUGGAAACUGAAGUGCUAGAGUGCAGUAGGGGUAGAGGGAAUUCCCGGUGUAGCGGUGAAAUGCGUAGAGAUCGGGAAGAACAUCGGUGGCGAAAGCGCUCUGCUGGACUGCAACUGACACUCAGGGACGAAAGCUAGGGGAGCGAAUGGG